AUAUGUAUAUGUACAUUUCUCUCUCUAUCUCUCUUUUCCUUCGUCUAAGGCUUCAACACUCCAUCGAGUCGUAGAAAUGUAAUACUCGUCGCAUCGUUGAAGAUUUUGCCGUGCGACUUGGCGUAAGCCGUCUAUUGUUCCGCGAUACGUUUCUAGGAAAGUAGAAUUUUCGUUAUAUAUGUAUAUUUCUCCUUCCACGAGUUACCGAUACUUCUUUGAACCAAUUAGGGAGUAUGGAGUUACGAGUAUCUCGUAACUGUGACGGUGACGAAGGUUGCAAGUUGACGAUAAAAAAAGAAGGACCGUGGAUGGUUAGACGGUUAAAGGAGGAAGGGUGAAAGUUUUAAAGGAGAACCCUUUAAGAUCUCAAGAAAUGAGCUGACUCGGCUCUUGAGUCUUCUUCCAUUUGCAACUUGUAAUAAAAUGAAAACGACCGCAUCCGAUGAGAGAGGAAUUGCGCUACCCUUUGCUUCGAAUAAGUGGAAUUACCAUUGUUUUAAAACCGUAGACGUUUCCGUUCUAGCAAGGAUAGAGGAAACAAACGAGUCCUUUUGUAAUUCGAAUACGAAAUAAACUUUUCACGCAUUAGUUAUAAAGCGGAAUGAAUAGAGA